rnacentral:rRNA from 1 species
GAUGAACGCUGGCGGCGUGCCUAACACAUGCAAGUCGAACGAAGCGCCUUACCGGAUUCUUCGGAUGAAGGUCUGGUGACUGAGUGGCGGACGGGUGAGUAACGCGUGGGUAACCUGCCCUGUACAGGGGGAUAACAGCUGGAAACGGCUGCUAAUACCGCAUAAGCGCACGAGGAGACAUCUCCUUGUGUGAAAGACUCCGGUGGUACAGGAUGGGCCCGCGUCUGAUUAGCUGGUUGGCAGGGUAACGGCCUACCAAGGCAACGAUCAGUAGCCGGUAUGAGAGGAUGAACGGACACAUUUGAACUGAGACACAGUCCAAACUCCUACGGGAGGCAGCAGUGGGGAAUAGUGCACAAUGGGGGAAACGCUGAUGCAGCAACGCCGCGUGAGUGAAGAAGUAUGUCGGUAUGUAAAGCUCUAUCAGCAGGGAAGAUAAUGACGGUACCUGACUAAGAAGCUCCGGCUAAAUACGUG